GCGGCGGUAACGCCGGCAAUCCCGCCGAAAAACUCUUCAUCAUUUGAGCCUCGUCAUUCUCUCCAUCGUCGAAAUUGAGAGCGUAGCUCAACGGAUCGUAACUGAAAUCCACCGAGUUCCGGUGCCUUUUCCGCAUACGAGCCAUCAGGUUCCGGCACUUCUCCUUAAUCACCGGUAACUCACGCGCCGUCGAUCUCAGCCACGCGGACGACCGUCCUACCAACCGCCUCUUCGAUAACGAUCCGGCUAAUUCCAGCCCCCGGAAACAGCAACAAAGACACAUGGAAAACUUAAUCCUAUGAUUCGGCGAUUGCGCCGGAGUAUCACCAUAAGACUCCAUAUUGAAAAGAGUGAGAGAAAAAGAGUGUUUGAGUAGUGAGAAAAAAGUGGAUAUGAUUGAUGAGACAAUGAGGUGGAGUUGUUUUGGAUAUAUAUUUAUAGGUUGAUGGAAAAGAGCAGAAAGCAAGGGGAACAUAAUGGAUAAGGACGAGAGCGUAAGAUGAUGCGGCUCCCCUUGCUGGAAAAGGCCAGAUAAACCGCGGGCCGGGCGCGUUGUGGUUUUUUCUGAUUCCGCGUUCGCGGGAUUUUAUUCCAAUUAUGAAUGAACUUCUAUCACAUUUUAUUCACUUUAUUUUCGGGUUUUAUUAAUUAUGGGUUUCUAAUUUAUUUCCAUUACUCGCUCAAAAUUUUGACAAACACAUAGGUAAGACAUGAGAAUUAAUUAUAUGAACGGAAAAAAGGCAUGUGACAUUAAUGAUUUCAAAUUAAAUAGUGUCAUAUGCCAUUAAUAUGAAACUUGACCAUAUCAAAAUUUUAAUUAGGAAUGAUACCUCGCCUACUUUUAAUGAGAAGGUUUGAGAUAAAAAUAAAUGAGUUCAAAGUGGGUUUAAUAAAUUUUUAAACCCACCCAUCAGCAAGAUUCAACCACCUUCUACUCGUUGAUGACCCAAUCCUUCAUUAAUCCUGCAAAAUCGAGUAGAAAAACAAACACGUGCACCAUCCACUUCUCUGCCAAUCCCAUCAUCAAAAUUAAGCGCAUAACUUUGCAUAUCAUAACGAAACUCCACCACCCUCUUCUUCUUUCUCAUUCCAUCUUCCAUAACCCUGCAUUUCAUUUUCUUUAACUUCUUCCCUAUCUUCGCCAAGCAAUUUUCUCUUGAUGACUUCUGCCUCUCCAACAAAACUACGUACGAGCCGCCACUUUUUCCCCGCAGCCUAAGCCAAGAAAGACUCUGAAAACAGCCACAAGCAUUGGCGUCCAUGGCCCUCUCAUCGUCUUCAACGCUUUUUAUACCUUCUAAUUCUGAAGAUGUAGCCGCAGAGACUGGUUUUUCAUGUGGGAUGGCCAUGAGGAUGAGGAUGAGAAUGAGAGAGCGAGGGAGAGAGGGCGAGAGGCUUUGUUACAAAGAAACUCAAAGCUACGGUGAACACUAAAAUAAGGGUAUUUGGGGAAUAUAAAUAUUCUUGGUGAGUUGGUAUGUUACUGGAAUCGGAUUUGGAAUGCUCACGUGACAUGCGAAUUUGGACGGCGAAUCAGAAAGCCUAAUUUGAUUGGGCCGCGUGGAGAGAAUGAGUUCGGGUUGUGUUUUCUGGUGGCGCCUGCGUCUUUUGCUAUUGGUCUGUCAUUAAGAUAUCUUUACGGGUUGAUGAGAUUUCGUUUGCCGGCCCAAUCGCAGCUGUACGACAGUUGAACCUCAAACAGCUGCUUGGUCCUGGGCCUUGCUUGGUAUGCACUUACUCAUAAUGUUGUACUUGUCCUCACGUAUUUUUUUAAUUUUUAUUUAUUUAUUUAUUACUUAUUUUUAAAAUGUUUAUUUAUUUAUUUAUUUGUUAAAGAUGAUACAUUCUGCUAAGAAAAAUUUAAUGUAAACAAAAUCCAAUCUAUCGUAGUGGGAAGAGUUAAUCGGAUAAAUGUAAGGAUGGAUUCUUUCUUUAAGAAUGUGGGAUGUUAUUUGUUUGCCCCGUGAGUAAAAACAUCUUCUUUUAUUUGUGUGUUAUAAUAAAAUUUAAAGAACACUUUUAAAAAUUUUAAAAAUUAUUUAUAAUAUUAAAAAAAUGUAUUUUUUUAGGGAUACUGUAGACCCCCUAGAGGUGACAAGUUUUUGCAUUUUGGCUAUUAUUAUUUUAUUCAUCUUGUCGACCCGAGGAUGAGCUGUAUGGAGGGCGGCGAGACAAGACUGGAAAGGAGGACUGAUGUGGGUGGCCUAGGGCAGAGAAAAUGAGAGGCUGCCACGAGAAAAGGAAGAAAAAACAGAGUAAGCUGGGGGGAUUUUCGGAGGAGAGUUUUUUUUGGAGAGAAAAGGAGAGGAAGGAUUUUUUAGGGGACGGAACCAGGGAGAGCUAUCGAAGGGGCUUUUCUUCAGGCGGGUUCCAGAGGAGAUGGACAGGAGAGAAGCGAGCAGGAGGGAUUUUUGAUCAGAGGAGAGAGCUUGCUGGCGGCGAGACCACUUCGACUCCGUUGGGGGAAUCUCUCAGGUUUGACUUUCCGGCACUUAGGUUCUCCAUUUUUACAGUCACACCAUGCCUCUUAUUGAUCUAUGGUUUUUAUUUUUAUUUUUGCUGUUGGUAUGUGGAUGCUUGUUUUGGCCAUCAAAGGUCCCGUUUGUUUGAUUUUUGCUUCACUUGCAUGAGUUACAUAAGGGAUACGCUGCUGUUCAUGUGUUAAAUCCACUCGAAAUUUCCUCCUAGCUCUCAAAUCUUUUCGAUCUUCAUGCAUCCUCUUCUACCACCGUCCUAGUUGUUAUUGUCUUGGAGAAGAUUAUCGUCACCCUUAGAUCUCUCUCCAAACCUCCCUCACCCCCUUCCACGACCCCGGCAUCCUCCACUCUGUCGGCCAGCAUUCCGAGGGUCACCUCCGGCGCGCCCAGGAGGCGGCGACUGCUGCUGCUGCAUGCCGCCAUAGCUGCCCUCCAGUUCGUCGUCGGAUUCAAGCGUCAUUCGGAUGGCGGCAAUUGAGGUGCUGAAACUCCAGCCGGUGCCGGUGAUAUUGGAGGUGCGGAGAUGGAACCUGAGAAGCCCAUGGUUUCUCUUGGAGACCUUUGGGCGGAGAAGUCGUGGGUGGCAGCGCCUGCAUGGGAGAUGCCCGCAAUGGCUAAUGGGCUUGAGGGCUUAGGUGAUUUUGCUGUUGGUUUUGAGCUUGUGAUGAAGCCCAGGCCCAAGCGAAAAGAUAAAAAAAAAUAAUGAAGAAGAGAAGGCCUCACUGAGUUAUUCACCCAUUUUAAAAUUGGCCCAUUUGCUUGCAUCUACUUUAUAUGAAUCACUUUCUUUAAAGCACUAAUUUCUUAAUAAAUUUUCUAACUUCCAAUUCCCCAGCCCAAUUUAUAAAAUUUUAACCUUCAAAUAAUACUUCAAAAUUCCUACAUUUAAAAUUCAAUUCCAAUUUCCGAAAAUUCUCAUACUCACUUUAAUUUAUUUAAUCACUAAUACUUUAUUCAUUUAUUUUAAAACUCCAUUCUUAAUCUAUUUAUUUAAAAUUUCUGUUUGCCGAAUUAAAUUCCGAAAAUUCCCAUUCUCACUUUAAUUUAUUUAAUCACUAAUACUUUAUUCAUUUAUUUUUAAAACUCCAUUCUUAAUCUAUUCUUUAAAAUUUCCAUUUACCGAAUUAAAUUCCGAAAAUUCCUAUACUCACUUCAAUUUAUUUAAUCACUAAUACUUUAUUCAUUUAUUUUAAAACUCCAUUCUUAAUCUAUUUAUUUAAAAUUUCUGUUUGCCGAAUUAAAUUCCGAAAAUUCCCAUUCUCACUUUAAUUUAUUUAAUCACUAAUAUUUUAUUCAUUUAUUUUUAAAACUCCAUUCUUAAUCUAUUCUUUAAAAUUUCCAUUUACCGAAUUAAAUUCUGAAAAUUCCUAUACUCACUUCAAUUUAUUUAAUCACUAAUACUUUAUUCAUUUAUUUUAAAACUCCAUUCUUAAUCUAUUCUUUAAAAUUUCCGUUUACCGAAUUAAAUUUCUAUUUUUGAAAAUUCCAAUAUUCACAUUAAUCUAUUUAAUUAUUAUUGUUUUAUUUAUUGAUUCUAAAAUUCUAUUCUAAACAAUUCAUUUAAAACUUUCGAUCUCCGAAUUAAAUUUCUAUUUCUGAAAAUUUCAAUAUUCAUAUUAAUUUAUUUAAUUAUUAUUAUUUUAUUUAUUUAUUCUAAGAUUUCAUUUUAAAUCAUUCAUUAAAAUUUCCAACUUCCGAUUUUAAUAAUUCCAAAAACUCCAAUAUUCACAUUAAUCUAUUUAAUUAUUAUUAUUUUAUUUAUUUAUUCUAAAAUUCUAUUUUAAACAAUUCAUUUAAAACUUUCGAUCUCUAAAUUAAAUUUCUAUUUCUGAAAAUUUCACUAUUCACAUUAAUUUAUUUAAUUAUUAUUAUGUUAUUUAUUUAUUCUAAAAUUCAAUUUUAAACAAUUCAUUAAAAUUUCCGACUUUCGAUUUUAAUUUCUAAUUCCAAAAACUCCAAUAUUCACAUUAAUCUAUUUAAUUAUUAUUAUUUUAUUUAUUUAUUCUAAAAUUUUAUUUUAAACAAUUCAUUUAAAACUUUCGACUUCCGAAUUAAAUUUCUAUUUCUGAAAAUUUCAAUAUUCACAUUAAUUCAUUUAAUUAUUAUUAUGUUAUUUAUUUAUUCUAAAGUUCCGUUUUAAACAACUCAUUGAAAUUUUCGACUUUUGAUUUAAUUUCUAAUUCCAAAAUUCCAAUACUCACAUUAAUCUAUUUAAUUAUUAUUAUUUUAGUUAUUUAUUUCGAAAUUCCAUUUUAAACAAUUCUUCAAAAUUCAAAAUUCGGAACUUAAUUUCCAAUUUCCAAAAUUCUAAUUUCUUUUAAAUUUAAUAUCUAAAAUUCCAAUUCUUAAAUUUAAUUCUCAAGACUCCAAUCUUCAAAUAAUUUUCGAGACUCCGAUUUCCAAAUAAAUAUCCAAAAUACUCCAAUAGUUUUAAUUCCAUUUCAGUUCUUAAAUAAUCUUCUGAUCUUCUUGAUUUUACAUAAGCAAUAAUGAAUUCUUCAUAAUUCUAAAACACGGAAUUUUUUAGACUAGUUCAUGAACAAUAAAUUGGGCAUAUGAUUGAUCCCUAUUGAUUGUCAACUGUUGUGCUUGAUAUAUUUUGCUCGAUCUUCAUUUUGCGCUCCGAUAUGCAUGAGCUAUAAUUCGUAUUCGUUAAUUGUGUACUAAUCCCGUUUCUUGAUAGCGCAUUGUGGCUUGUGGCUCAGGUACGCAUAGAUUUUCAUUUUGAUCAUUCUCUAUGCAUGUUGGAUUUUCAUAUGUGCAUGAUUUGACUUAGGCAUCCAUUGACUUUCUUAUUGAUUGCCACGUCGGUUUCAUUUUAUUAGUAGAGACCCGUCUUUAGGGACUUAGAGGGGUGCUACGGUUUUUACCGUACCUUCCUGAUAAGUAACCUGACCCCCGAACCCGAUCCGGUUUUUCACAGACCACAUUUUUCAAAGUAAGGAGUCACACUUAGGGUUUUUCUUUCUUAUUUUGUUUACCCUUUAAAAAUAAAACAAAAAUAAGUGGCGACUCCAAGUCAGUUUUUAAUUAAUAAAAGUCAUGUUUUUUAAAUUAAAAUCAAGCUCACCAUCGAGUGGGAAACACAUUGAGCCGAAAUGCGGGGUCCACAGAUACACUUGAUAAUUAAUUUUUUUUAAAUUUUUUAAAGAAUAUUUAAUUUUUUUUAAAAAUAAAUCAUACUUGAAAUAACCUAAUCUUUCUUUUGAGAUUAAAUGUGAAAAAUAUACCCAAAAUUAAUAACAUAAUAUAACCAGUUCAGAUUAUUAUGGAUUUUUUAAAUGAGAAAUUUUGAAUAAUGAUCACUUGAAACCGUUUCAAUCAGUUUUGUCGAUUUGAUUCGAUUAGUUUUAUUGGUUCAAUCCUCAAUGCAAUCAAUUCGAACUGAUUUCAUUCUAUCAGUUUUAUUAAUUGAUGUUUGUUUUCUUUUUCCUGCACACAUCAAAUUUAUUCAUGAAAAUAUUGAGAUAUAUGACCAUAAAAAUUAAAAUUUUAUCUUAAAAUAAUUGGAGAUAAAAAUUAAAAUUAUUUAUAUUAUGAGAAGGUAUCUUAAAAUAAUUUAGAAAGUAAGAUGCUAAAAUAUUGAAGUGCGGUAGAUGAUAUUGGUGGAAGUACCUACUUCAACUUCAAUGGCUGAAGAAUCUUUCAGUUCCAAUUGAUGAGUGAUGAUUCCAAAGUCUAUAAUUUCUGAUAACGCCAACAGAAUUAACAUUAAAUUUCCUUUACACGCAUUACUGUUACAGGAUUGAACAUCGCUCAAUUUUCCGAUCCUCAAUCCACAUUUACAACGACGGAAAACAACUCCUAAUUUUCAACCACACGCUACGAUCUCCGGCAUUGCCACAGUCGGAUGCACCGCGCACUUCCCCUGCGGCGGUAACGCCGGCAAUCUCGCCGAAAAACUCUUCAUCAUUUGAGCCUCGUCAUUCUCUCCAUCGUCGAAAUUUAGAGCGUAGCUCAACGGAUCGUAACUGAAAUUCACCGAGUUCCGGUGCCUUUUCCGCAUACGAGCCAUCAGGUUCCGGCACUUCUCCUUAAUCACCGGUAACUCACGCGCCGUCGAUCUCAGCCACGCGGACGACCGUCCUACCAACCGCCGCUUCGAUAACGAUCCGGCUAAUUCCAGCCCCCGGAAACAGCAACAAAGACACAUGGAAAACUUAAUCCUAUGAUUCGGCGAUUGCGCCGGAGUAUCACCAUAAGACUCCAUAUUGAAAAGAGUGAGAGAAAAAGAGUGUUUGAGUAGUGAGAAAAAAGUGGAUAUGAUUGAUGAGACAAUGAAGUGGAGUUGUUUUGGAUAUAUAUUUAUAGGUUGAUGGAAAAGAGCAGAAAGCAAGGGGAACAUAAUGGAUAAGGACGAGAGCGUAAGAUGAUGCGGCUCCCCUUGCUGGAAAAGCCCAAAUAAACCGCGGGAUGAUGGCAUGCGGCUCCCCUUGCUGGAAAAGGCCAGAUAAACCGCGGGCCGGGCGCGUUGUGGUUUUUUCUGAUUCCGCGUUCGCGGGAUUUUAUUCCAAUUAUUAAAGAACUCCUAUCACAUUUUAUUCACUUUAUUUUCGGGUUUUAUUAAUUAUGGAUUUCUAAUUUAUUUCUAUUACUCGCUCAAAAUUUUGACAAACACAUAGCCAAGACAUGAGAAUUAAUUAUAUGACAAAUGGAAAAAAGGCAUGUGACAUUAAUGAUUUCAAAUUAAAUAAUGUCAUAUGCCAUUAAUAUGAAACUUGACCAUAUCAAAAUUUUAAUUAGGAAGUUCAGAGUGGGUUUAAUAAAUUUUUAAUAUAAAUAAAAUAUUACUUUUUAUAAAAAGAAAUUAUAAAUAUUUUAUAAAAAAAAAUUAUUUUAAAAUUAAAUUUAUUUUUAAUAAAAUUUAAAAUUCUUAAAAUUUUAAAAAAUAAAAUUAAAUGAGAUAGGAUGAGUAUAAGAAUUUUGUUUCACACACAAUUUGGGUCUCAAGUUUUUGCAUAUGUGUGGCACCUAGACACACUCUAGGCUAGCCUUUCUCCAAGCCACAAGAUGUGUUGUAUUUUAUUGAUCACCAACAAAAUACAAAAGAAUACAAAAGGUUAUUUGGCAAGGACUCUCACAAUAAGCAUCAAGUAGUUCACUUGUUUUUUUGAAGGCAGUUGUACCAAGUGAACUAGUGUUUGAGUCCUAGUCUGACCCAAACUCAAACUCAACGGAUUCCACAUUGAGUAGGACUUCGAGUCUUACUCUAUCCCAACUUCUCGUGCCACAAGUCUCUAUCUCCUUGUGCAUGAAGACUUAGUUUCCCAUCCUGAUUGGGAGUCUUUGUGUGUCAAAGUUCUUCUCCUCCUCAGUUCCCUAGUUUGACUAAGAGUCUCAUGCGAUAAGAGUCUUACUUAUGCAAUGCAUUAGCACACUACACCUUGCUUAGGCUCAUAUUGAUGCUAAGACAUAUCUUACAUGACUCGUGUGUUGCUGUUUUCAUGCAUGUUGGGCUCACACAUCAACUCUAUUCAAAGAUCCUCAUGACAUUUUCAAAUCUUAUGAUAAAUUCUAAAGGAUUGGGAAGUUGACAAAGAAACACAUGAUGCUACUUAACCCUACAUUGGUAGUUAAAUUGUUUGAUGUAUGGAGAAUUGAUUUCAUUGGAUCAAUUUCAUCAUCUUUUAGAUAUUCUUAUAUUUUGGUACGAGUGUGCUAUGUGUCAAAAUAGUUGGAAGCAAUAAAUUAUAAGCAUAAUGAUCACAAGGUGGUGGUAAAUUUUUUCAAGAAGAAUAUAUUUACAAGGUUUAGAGUGCCAAAAGUUAUUAUUAUGGAGUGAUGGAGGUAGUCACUUUUGCAACUAGUCAUUCAACAACCUUCUUGCUAAAUAUGGAGUGAAGUACAAAGUAACCACAUGUUAUCAUCCAUAGACAAACGAGCAAGUGGAGCUCGCGAACCAUGAAAUCAAGAGCAUCCUGAUAAAAGUAGUGAAUGCAAUCACAAGGAUUAGGUUAUGAGACUUUGGGUUUAUCGAACUACCUUUAAGACAAUUCUUUGGAUGUCACCAUAUAGGCUAGUUUUUGGUAAAACAUGUCAUUUACCUAUUGAAUUGGAAUAUAAAGCAUGGUGGACUAUCAAGAAAUUGAAUUUUAACGUUCAAAAAGCAGGAUUGAGGACAUUUCUAAACUUGAACAAGAUAGAAGAAUUAAGAAAUGAAGCUUACAUGAAUUCAAAAUUUUCUAAAGGACAAACUCAAAAGACAACAUAAUCAAAUUGUCCUUAGAAAGCAGCUUCAAGAAGGACAAAAAGUGCUCCUAUAUGAUUCCAAACUACAUAUAUUUCCAAAAAAGCUCAAAUCUCAAUGAAAUGACCUAUAUUUGGUUCAUAAGGUGCUUUCAAAUGGGGUUAUUAAAAUUUGUCAAUCCAAAAAGUGGAAUUGCCUUUAAGAUCAAUGAACAUCAACUCAAGGAGGAACUUUUCCUCCUUGAUCCUUCCAUGACUUAGUAUAAUUUUUUUAGAGGGGUUAGUCAUUUUAAAAUGACUAAUUAUCCCAAUUCUUCUAUUUUUUUUUUCAAUUUCUUUACACUUCAUUCCAUUUGUUUCAAUUUUUCUUUCUUUUUCUAAGCGCAUAUAUCUUUUUUUUUUUGGUGAUCUUGUAACACUCCAUAAAUCAAAGGAAGAAGGAAUUUCCAAGGGUCUAAAAGCUCGAAAGAUGACAAUUUGGAGAGGACCUAGUGCAAUAAGAGUACCCUUUGAAGAUUUCACAUGACUAUGCAAAAUCACCAAUUCUACGUGAAGUUAAAUGAAUUUUUUUAAAGCUUUGAAUGCCAAAAUCUCAUACCUUUGGUAUGUUUUGCAGGCCCAUACGAAAUUAGAAGAUGCUAUGUGAAAACAAAGUUUUAGAGAUAUAUUUGAAAGUGAAAAUAUUCAUCUCUCAAGUCUACUUUGCAUCCUUAUGUGAAAUUGAUAAAAGUUAUGCAAAAUUGAUAAAAAUUGUGCAAAAAUUGAAUAUUCAAGUCCUCUUGGAAAAACAAAAUAUGAUGGCUCAGAUUUGUUUUGCAUGGCCAUGCGAAAAGAUGAAAUACUAAAGCAAAGUGUCAUGCAUUUGUGAGUUCAUGGAAAUUCGACAACCUCAUUAUGCAUGUAGUAAUCAGCAUGCCAUGAACAAUGGAACUAUUCUCAAGAGGUGGAGUUUGUCAUUUAGUGCCAUAUAAAAUUCAAGGAAAUAUGGUAGUGCUUAUAUUAAAAUCAACAACCUUGUGAAAGAUUGAAAAAUUCAGCAACUAUAUGAGUUCGGUUUUCAUAUUUUUAAGUAGCAAAUUUUGCCAUUUUGUGACCCAUAUAUUGCAGUCACACAUGAAGAUAUGUUCAGAGGUGCAAAUGGCUUGUAUGAAGAAUAAUUCUCAUGCAUUUCAAUGGCUUUUUCAAAGGCUUUUCAAUGUAGACUGCUACAUGUAUUCACUCAGGUUGUGCGAUAUCCUCAAUGGCACCACUUUUGUUGCAAUUAGUAGCUUAAUGUGAAACUUCCACAAGGUUUCCUAAGUCUUUUUCAAAGAUUAAAAAUUGAAAGUAUGAAUUUUUUUUUUCCUGAAAAUAACUCUUCAAUAUACUUUUGAGGAGGUUUGGUCAAAUUUUUUCCCUAAAUGCAAUAUUUGAAAAUUAGGCUAUUAUGGCUAAUUGUUGAAAUUUCUUUGGAAUGUUUUAUUGAUUUAGCUCAAUGGAGUAAUUAAUUCGGUGUUAUUCACUUGGUUAUUUGGUUUAUCAUAUAUUGGAAAUUCAAUUGAAGAUGUGAUAUGCUAAUUCGUUUUGUAAAUCGAAUACUAUUUUAAGUAAUUUUUGAAUAUGAUAGAGCUAGAUUUUUACUUAAUUUCUAAAUGACAUUUAUUUUAAUCUUUUCUAGAAAUAUUCAAAUAUAAAUGAUCAUUUGUUCAUUUAGAAAAUUUCCACCAAUUAUGCUUAUCCAUUUGUUUUAAUUUAUAUUGUCUAAAUUUCAUUUCAAUUUGCUACAGAUGAUAGUAAAAAAAAAAAAAGAAAAAAAAAUACUAUUGAAGAAUAGAAUAAAGAAUAGGUUGUAUACGAUGAAAAAAUUGAGAUUUCAAUGCCUACAGUAACUCCUAUUAAUACAAUGGUUGCCAUUUGAGAAUCUCACUCAAAUUAGCUAAGACCAAAGCCACCAAAAGACAUAUUGUUGCACAAGCUUCAAUUUUAGAAAAAGGAAAAAGGACAUUGGGGCAACCAUAUAAAAUUCCAAUGAAAAGAAAGAACAAAGGAAAAAAGAAAAA
rnacentral:lncRNA from 1 species